rnacentral:lncRNA from 1 species
AUGUCUUUUGUGUUCUAUAGAAAGUGGUUUCGUAAGAGAAGAGAAAAAGUGUGGUUGAUGAGGCAAUUUGGGUGUGUUAAUGUUAUGCUUCUUUUGUGCGAUGAUGGAAACGAUUGAGUUUGAUUUUUUGUGUUUGUUAGUUGUUGGGUUUGAUUCAUGAUUUUUUUUUGGGUUUAUGGUUCAUGAAUGUUAAUGAUGGUUAUGGUUAUA